rnacentral:rRNA from 1 species
GAUGAACGCUGACAGAAUGCUUAACACAUGCAAGUCUUUGGCGAAGCUGUGCUUGCACAGCCUAGCCAAGGCGGACGGGUGAGUAACGCGUAAGGAACUUGCCCUGCAGUCAGGGAUAACAGACGGAAACGACUGAUAAGACCUGGUAAAGUCAGGCGGACUCAUGUCCAGCCUGAUGAAAAGAGAUGCUGCAGGAGAGCCUUGCGUCCUAUUAGCUUGUUGGUGGGGUAACGGCCCACCAAGGCGAUGAUAGGUAGCCGGCCUGAGAGGGUGGACGGCCACAAGGGGACUGAGAGACGGCCGUUACUCCUACGGGAGGCAGCAGUGGGGAAUAUUGGACAAUGGGGGCAACCCUGAUCCAGCAAUUCUGUGUGCACGAUGAAGGUUUUCGGAUUGUAAAGUGCUUUCAGCAGGGAAGAAAAAAAUGACGGUACCUGCAGAAGAAGCGACGGCUAAAUACGUG